GACGUAGGGCGCGAGCGUUGUCCGGAUUUAUUGGGCGUAAAGGGCUCGUAGGCGGUUUUGUCGCGUCGGGGAGUGAAAACUCAGGGCUUAACCCUGAGCCUGCUUCCGAUACGGGCAGACUAGAGGUAUGCAGGGGGAGAAUGGAAUUCCUGGUGUAGCGGUGAAAUGCGCAGAUAUCAGGAGGAACACCGGUGGCGAAGGCGGGUCUCUGGGCAGUAACUGACGCUGAGGAGCGAAAGCGUGGGGAGCGAACAGG
rnacentral:rRNA from 1 species